UACGAAGGGGGCUAGCGUUGUUCGGAAUUACUGGGCGUAAAGGGCGUGUAGGCGGUACCAUAAGUCAGAUGUGAAAGCCCCAGGCUUAACCUGGGAGGUGCAUUUGAUACUGUGGAACUAGAGAUCGAGAGAGGAAAGCGGAAUUACGAGUGUAGAGGUGAAAUUCGUAGAUAUUCGUAAGAGCACCAGUGGCGAAGGCGGCUUUCUGGCUCGAUACUGACGCUAAGGCGCGAAAGCGUGGGGAGCAAACAGG
rnacentral:rRNA from 1 species